CACCAAUGAAUUGAGUUAUAUGUUAAUGGUAAAAAGACAGUUAGAUAUUUAUAAUUCUGGGUUAUUUUAAUGCUUUGUAUAGAAGUAAAAUUUAAGUACAAUUGUAUAAUUUAUUAGUAACUUGCUAAUUGAAUCUGUGAAAUCCUUAAGGGAAACUGGGAUUAGGUACCCCAUUAUUUUUGGAUAUAAAUUAAUAAGAUUUACCAGAGUACUAUGAAUAUUAAGAAUUUAAAACUCAAAGAACUUGGCGGUGUUUUAGACCACUUAGGGGAACCUGUCUCAUAAUCGAUAAUCCACGAUAUACCUGACCUUUUUUUGUUUUCAGUUUGUAUACCGUUGUCGUCAGGUAACUUUUUAGAAACUAGAAGUUAGCAACAGAAAUUAAAGAUGGUUCAGUACGUCAAAUCAAGGUGCAGCUAAUAAAAAGGGGAGGAUGGGUUACAAUUAUAAAAUUAUAAUGACGGAUAUAUAUAUGAAAUUGUAUUAAUGUAAGGUGGACUUAAAAGUAAAUUAGAAUAUAUAAAUAAUUUGAAUAAGGCUCUGAAACGUGU
rnacentral:rRNA from 1 species